GUGGGGCUCUGUUUCUCUCCUGGCCCAUCCCUGCCCUCCCCUCUUCCCCCUGCAGCACCUUGAAGUGAUGCUCACAUCUGUCUUCUCUCAGCCUGAGCUGUGUUCUGGCACCACUGUGCACAUGUAGCAGAUGCAAAUUGCCUCUAAUUAGAGGUGGAACACUGGAGUGGUGUAAUGAUUUGUGGAUUCUUGCCACACUCUUUUUACAACUUUACCAACAGCCUUUGGGCUGUAAUUGUGUAGGAAGGAUCCAUCAGAGUUUAUGCAUCAGAAAAGAACCCAAUAUCCAGAGCAGCUGAUUUGGCAUGAGAUGGAACUGAAUGCAAGGAUUAAUAAUGCUCUUUCUGUGCUCCAGUGCAGCCUCAUUUCUGAUGCUGUGCUGGGGGAGAGCUGCCUCUCGCUGCCCCAGGCCAUCAGCAGGCAGCACAGAGCCUGGCAAGCCCAGGAUGUGCUCCCAAAAUCCCUGGUGAAAACGGGGCACUAACCUUAGUGCUGAUAAGGGAAAGUGGAUUUUAGCUCUCCUGAGGAAGAUACCGUGCAGCACUGACGGGAGGAGAAGUUACUAUGGUGAUGAAGGCUAUAAAACAGAUGGAAAUAAAUAUAUGUAUAAUGCCUUUUAGGUAUGAUCUGA